rnacentral:rRNA from 1 species
UACGAAGGGUGCAAGCGUUAAUCGGAAUUACUGGGCGUAAAGCGUGCGCAGGCGGUUUUGUAAGUCAGAUGUGAAAUCCCCGGGCUUAACCUGGGAACUGCGUUUGAAACUACAAGGCUAGAGUGUGACAGAGGGGGGUGGAAUUCCACGUGUAGCAGUGAAAUGCGUAGAGAUGUGGAGGAACACCGAUGGCGAAGGCAGCCCCCUGGGUUAACACUGACGCUCAGGCACGAAAGCGUGGGGAGCAAACAGG